rnacentral:ncRNA from 1 species
UCCGGAAGUCAUCGAUGCCACGCUUCCAGGAAAAGCCUCUAAGCUUCAGAUCACAUGCGACCGUACCCCAAACCGACACAGGUGGUCAGGGUGAGAAUCCCAAGGCGCUUGAGAGAACUCGGGUGAAGGAACUAGGCAAAAUGGCACCGUAACUUCGGGAGAAGGUGCGCCGGCGUAGCGUGAAGAGACUCGCUCUCCUAGCGCGAACCGGUCGAAGAUACCAGGUGGCUGCAACUGUUUAUUAAAAACACAGCACUCUGCUAACGCGUAAGCGGACGUAUAGGGUGUGACGCCUGCCCGGUGCCGGAAGGUUAAUUGAUGGUGUUAGCGCAAGCGAAGCUCCUGAUCGAAGCCCCGGUAAACGGCGGCCGUAACUAUAACGGUCCUAAGGUAGCGAAAUUCCUUGUCGGGUAAGUUCCGACCUGCACGAAUGGCGUAAUGAUGGCCACGCUGUCUCCACCCGAGACUCAGUGAAAUUGAAAUCGCAGUGAAGAUGCUGUGUACCCGCGGCUAGACGGAAAGACCCCGUGAACCUUUACUAUAGCUUCACACUGGACGCUGAUGUUGCUUGUGUAGGAUAGCUGGGAGGCUUGGAAACCGUGACGCCAGUUGCGGUGGAGCCAACCUUGAAAUACCAGCCUGGCAUCAUUGGCGUUCUAACUUCGCACCGUGAUCCGGUGUAAGGACAGUGUGUGGUGGGUAGUUUGACUGGGGCGGUCUCCUCCGAAAGCGUAACGGAGGAGCACGAAGGUACCCUCAGCACGGUUGGAAAUCGUGCAUUGAGUGCAAGAGCAUAAGGGUGCUUAACUGCGAGACAGACACGUCGAGCAGGUACGAAAGUAGGUUCUAGUGAUCCGGUGGUUCUGUAUGGAAGGGCCAUCGCUCAACGGAUAAAAGGUACUCCGGGGAUAACAGGCUGAUACCGCCCAAGAGUUCACAUCGACGGCGGUGUUUGGCACCUCGAUGUCGGCUCAUCACAUCCUGGGGCUGAAGUCGGUCCCAAGGGUAUGGCUGUUCGCCAUUUAAAGUGGUACGCGAGCUGGGUUUAGAACGUCGUGAGACAGUUCGGUCCCUAUCUGCCGUGGGCGUUGGAGAUUUGAGAAGCGCUGCUCCUAGUACGAGAGGACCGGAGUGGACGCACCUCUGGUGUUCCGGUUGUCACGCCAGUGGCACUGCCGGGUAGCUAUGUGCGGACGGGAUAACCGCUGAAGGCAUCUAAGCGGGAAGCCCCCUUCAAGAUGAGAUCUCCCUGAGACUUCGAGUCUCCUAAAGGGUCCAGCAAGACGAGCUGGUUGAUAGGCACGGUGUGGAAGCGCUGCAAGGCGUUGAGCUAACGUGUACUAAUGCCCCGUGAGGCUUGACCAU